rnacentral:rRNA from 1 species
GACGAACGCUGGCGGCGUGCUUAACACAUGCAAGUCGAACGAAGUGGCGAACGGGUGAGUAACGCGGAAACAACCUGCCCUUCAGAGGGGGACAACAGGUGGAAACGACUGCUAAUACCGCAUACUGAAGGAGGGGAUUGCGUCUGAUUAGCUAGUUGGAGGGGUAACGGCCCACCAAGGCGAUGAUCAGUAGCCGGUCUGGGAUGAUGAACGGCCACAUUGGGACCGAGUCCCGGCCCAGACUCCUACGGGAGGCAGCAGUGGGGAAUUUUCCGCAAUGGACGAAAGUCUGACGGAGCAACGCCGCGUGAGUGAUGACGGCCUUCGGGUUGUAAAGCUCUGUUAAUCGGGACGCGGUACCGGAAUAGAAAGCCACGGCUAACUACGUGCCAGCCGCCGCGGUAAUAC